UCGAUAAGGGGGUGUGGGAAAUGGAAAUUAGUGGCUUUUUUGCUGUACUGUCUGCUAGUUUUUGCUCUGGGCUCUGGCUGGAUCUUUUGUUUAAACAAUUUUAAUCAGCUGAAAGUGGCCUACAAAAAAAAACCAAGAAGGAAAUGUAUAGCCUUGUGGCUAUGAAAGGCAAAAGAGAGAUAUAAAAAGUGUAUUGGCUAGUUGGAAGAAAGUCCACAUUGUCCAUGCAUAAUAAGUUAUUACUUUAUAAACAAAUAUUAAUACCUAGGAAUGGAACCUGGAUAUAAUCAUCAAGAAGAUAGCAGGAAUCCCGACAAACAACUUAAAUAAGUACGAGAAUAUUGAGGAAAUCCAGCUCCUCGAUACUACUGGGCAAACUAGAAGAUUUAAGAGGACAAAGCCUUUUGAACUAGUUUGAGUGAUAGGUGAUAGUGUAAAGCAGAGCAUAGUGCGUGAUGUGGCUGUGUAUGUUAGAAUAGUGCAUGAUCUUGUUAGAUUAGAUAAGAGACGCUAUCGGGUAUGCUCUUCAUUUUAAGAAACAUUAGUAAUUUAGGUUAAAUUACAAUUGCUCAUUGGUCAGUUAUGACCAGAUUGCACAUUGCUAAUGUUUUGAUGAUUUCUGGACCAGCAAAAAACUGUUGUAGACGUAAACUGUAUGUACCAAUAAAAAGAGCCGAUUUUUCUGGUUCAG
rnacentral:lncRNA from 1 species